rnacentral:rRNA from 1 species
UACGUAGGGGGCAAGCGUUGUCCGGAAUCAUUGGGCGUAAAGAGCGUGUAGGCGGCUCGGUAAGUCCGCUGUAAAAGUCCAGGGCUCAACCCUGGAAAGCCGGUGGAAACUGUCGAGCUAGAGUCCGGAAGAGGCGAGUGGAAUUCCUGGUGUAGCGGUGAAAUGCGCAGAUAUCAGGAGGAACACCAAUGGCGAAGGCAGCUCGCUGGGACGGUACUGACGCUGAGGCGCGAAAGCUAGGGGAGCAAACGGG